UUCCGGUUGAUCCUGCCGGAGGCCAUUGCUAUCGGGGUCCGAUUUAGCCAUGCUAGUCGCACGGGUUCAGACCCGUGGCGAACAGCUCAGUAACACGUGGCCAAGCUACCCUGUGGACACGGAUAACCUCGGGAAACUGAGGCUAAUCCGUGAUACCGCUCCCAGGCUGGAGUGCCGGGAGCGCGAAACGUUCCGGCGCCACAGGAUGCGGCUGCGGCCGAUUAGGUAGACGGUGGGGUAACGGCCCACCGUGCCGAUAAUCGGUACGGGUGGUGAGAGCCAGAGCCCGGAGAUGGAAUCUGAGACAAGAUUCCAGGCCCUACGGGGCGCAGCAGGCGCGAAACCUUUACACUGCACGUCAGUGCGAUAAGGGGACCCCGAGUGCGAGGGCAUACAGUCCUCGCUUUUGUGUACCGUAGGGAGGUACACGAAUAAGGGCUGGGCAAGACCGGUGCCAGCCGCCGCGGUAAUACCGGCAGCUCAAGUGAUGGCCGCUGUUAUUGGGCCUAAAGCGUCCGUAGCCGGCCGCAGAAGUCCGUCGGGAAAUCCACCCGCCUAACGGGUGGGCGUCCGGCGGAAACUCUGCGGCUUGGGACCGGAAGACUCGAGGGGUACGUCCGGGGUAGGAGUGAAAUCCUGUAAUCCUGGACGGACCGCCGGUGGCGAAAGCGCCUCGAGAGGACGGAUCCGACGGUGAGGGACGAAAGCUAGGGUCUCGAACCGGAUUAGAUACCCGGGUAGUCCUAGCCGUAAACGAUGCUCGCUAGGUGUGGCGCAGGCUACGAGCCUGCGCUGUGCCGUAGGGAAGCCGUGAAGCGAGCCGCCUGGGAAGUACGUCCGCAAGGAUGAAACUUAAAGGAAUUGGCGGGGGAGCACUACAACCGGAGGAGCCUGCGGUUUAAUUGGAUUCAACGCCGGA
rnacentral:rRNA from 1 species